UCCAGUUGAUCCUGCUGGAGGCCGCUGCUAUUGGGAUCCGACUAAGCCAUGCAAGUCCAGGGGUCCUUCGGGACACCGGCAGACUGCUCAGUAACACGUCGAUAAUCUGCCCUCGGGUUCAGGAUAACCUUGGGAAACUGAGGCUAAACCUGAAUAUGGGAAUUCUACUGGAAUGUGUUUUCCUUUAAAGGUGACGCCCGAGGAUGAGUUGGCGGCGGAUUAGCUUGUUGGUGGGGUAAUGGCCCACCAAGGCGAUGAUCCGUAGGGGCCUUGAAAGAGGUAGCCCCGAGAAGGGCACUGAGAUACUGGCCCUAGCCCUACGGGGUGCAGCAGGCGCGAAACCUUUACACUACACGAAAGUGCGAUAAGGGGAUCCCAAGUGCCUAUACUCUGUAUAGGCUUUUUUCAAGAGUAAAGAUUUUGGAGAAUAAGUGGUGGGAAAGACUGGUGCCAGCAGCCGCGGUAAUACCAGCGCCACGAGUAGGGGCCAUGGUUAUUGGGCCUAAAGCGUUCGUAGCAGGCUGUGUAAACCUCUUGUGAAAUCGUUAGGCUUAACCUAACGGCGUGCAGGAGAGACUGCGUAGCUAGAGACCGGGAGGGGUAAGAGGUAUUUCUGGGGGAGCGGUAAAAUGCUAUAAUCCCAGGAGGACCACCUGUGGCGAAGGCGUCUUACCAGAUCGGUUCUGACUGUGAGGAACGAAAGCCAGGGGAGCAAACCGGAUUAGAUACCCGAGUAGUCCUGGCCGUAAACGCUGCGAGCAAGGUGUUGCAUAUUCUAACAUGGAUAUGCAGUGUCGAAACGAAGGUGUUAAGCUCGCCGCCUGGGAAGUACGGUCGCAAGAUUGAAACUUAAAGGAAUUGGCGGGGGAGCACUACAAGGGGUGCGGCGUGCGGUUUAAUUGAACUCAACACCGGAAAUCUCACCAGGAGCGACGGCAGAAUGAAAGUCAGUCUAACGGGCUUACUUAACAAGCCGAGAGGUGGUGCAUGGCCGCCGUCAGCUCGUGCCGUAAGGUGUCCUGUUAAGUCAGGCAACGAGCGAGACCUGCAUCUACAAUUGCCAUCAGCUCAAUCUGAGGACUGGGCACAUUGUAGAGACUGCCUGGGAAACCAGGAGGAAGGUGCAGGCCACGGUAGGUCUGUAUGCCCCGAAUCCCCUGGGCUACACGCGCGCAACAAUGGUAGGGACAAUGGGAUGCAACUCUGAAAAGAGAAGCUAAUCCUCGAAACCCUAUCCUAGUUCAGAUCGAGGGCUGCAACUCGCCCUCGUGACGUCGGAAUCCCUAGUAAUCGGACGUCAUCAGCGUCCGGUGAAUACGUCCCUGCUCCUUGCACACACCGCCCGUCAAGCCACCCGAGCAGGGUUUGGGUGAGGCCUAGCCUAUUAGUUAGGUCGAACUUAGGCUCAGUGAGGAGGGCUAAGUCGUCACAAGGUA
rnacentral:rRNA from 1 species